CCUACGGGUGGCAGCAGUGGGGAAUAUUGCACAAUGGGCGAAAGCCUGAUGCAGCGACGCCGCGUGAGCGAAGAAGGCCUUCGGGUCGUAAAGCUCUGUCCUAAGGGACGAAAAGGACGGUACCUUGGGAGUGAGCGCCGGCUAACUGCGAGCCAGCAGCCGCGGUAAGACGUGGGGGGCGAGCGUUAUCAGGAGUUACUGGGCGUAAGGGAUUCGUGGGCGGACUUUUAAGUCAGGUGUGAAAGGUUACGGCUUAACCGUAGUUAGCAUUUGAAACGAGAAGGCUUGAGUGAGGGAGAGGAGAGUGGAACUCCUAGUGUAGCGGUGAAAUGCGUAGGUAUUAGGGGGAACACCAGUGGCGAAGGCGGCUCUCUGGACUUAAACUGACGCUGACGCACGAAAGCGUGGGGAGCGAACAGGAUUAGAUACCCCUGUAGUC
rnacentral:rRNA from 1 species